rnacentral:rRNA from 1 species
GACGAACGCUGGCGGCGUGCCUAAUACAUGCAAGUAGAACGCUGAAGCGAGGAGCUUGCUCUUCUUGGAUGAGUUGCGAACGGGUGAGUAACGCGUAGGUAACCUGCCUUGUAGCGGGGGAUAACUAUUGGAAACGAUAGCUAAUACCGCAUAACAAUAGGUGACACAUGUCAUUUAUUUGAAAGGGGCAAUUGCCCCACUACAAGAUGGACCUGCGUUGUAUUAGCUAGUAGGUGAGGUAACGGCUCACCUAGGCGACGAUACAUAGCCGACCUGAGAGGGUGAUCGGCCACACUGGGACUGAGACACGGCCCAGACUCCUACGGGAGGCAGCAGUAGGGAAUCUUCGGCAAUGGGGGCAACCCUGACCGAGCAACGCCGCGUGAGUGAAGAAGGUUUUCGGAUCGUAAAGCUCUGUUGUAAGUCAAGAACGAGUGUGAGAGUGGAAAGUUCACACUGUGACGGUAGCUUACCAGAAAGGGACGGCUAACUACGUG